rnacentral:rRNA from 1 species
GACGAACGCUGGCGGCGUGCUUAACACAUGCAAGUCGAACGGGAGUAUUGAAGAAGCUUGCUUUAGAGAUACUUUAGUGGCGGACGGGUGAGUAACGCGUGAGGAGCUGUCCUAUGCAGGGGGACAACAGCUGGAAACGGCUGCUAAUACCCCAUAAGCCGAGAGGUAAAAGGAUCAAUCCGGCAGAGGAGGUACUCGCGUCCUAUCAGCUAGUAGGUGAGGUAACGGCUCACCUAGGCGAAGACGGGUAGCCGGCCUGAGAGGGCGAACGGCCACACUGGAACUGAGAUACGGUCCAGACUCCUACGGGAGGCAGCAGUGGGGAAUAUUGGGCAAUGGGGGAAACCCUGACCCAGCGACGCCGCGUGGGUGAAGAAAUCCUUCGGGAUGUAAAGCCCUGUUGUAUGGGAAGAGCGGAAGACGGUACCAUACGAGGAAGCCCCGGCAAACUACGUG